UACGUAGGGUCCGAGCGUUGUCCGGAAUUAUUGGGCGUAAAGGGCUCGUAGGCGGUUUGUCGCGUCGGGAGUGAAAACUCAGGGCUCAACCCUGAGCGUGCUUCCGAUACGGGCAGACUAGAGGUAUGCAGGGGAGAACGGAAUUCCUGGUGUAGCGGUGGAAUGCGCAGAUAUCAGGAGGAACACCGGUGGCGAAGGCGGUUUUCUGGGCAUUACCUGACGCUGAGGAGCGAAAGCAUGGGGAGCGAACAGG
rnacentral:rRNA from 1 species